rnacentral:rRNA from 1 species
ACACAUGCAAGUCGAGGGGCAGCACAGGUAGCAAUACCGGGUGGCGACCGGCGCACGGGUGAGUAACGCGUAUGCAACUUACCUAUCAGAGGGGGAUAACCCGGCGAAAGUCGGACUAAUACCGCAUGAAGCAGGGGCCCCGCAUGGGGAUAUUUGCUAAAGAUUCAUCGCUGAUAGAUAGGCAUGCGUUCCAUUAGGCAGUUGGCGGGGUAACGGCCCACCAAACCGACGAUGGAUAGGGGUUCUGAGAGGAAGGUCCCCCACAUUGGUACUGAGACACGGACCAAACUCCUACGGGAGGCAGCAGUGAGGAAUAUUGGUCAAUGGCCGAGAGGCUGAACCAGCCAAGUCGCGUGAGGGAUGAAGGUUCUAUGGAUCGUAAACCUCUUUUAUAAGGGAAUAAAGUGCGGGACGUGUCCCGUUUUGUAUGUACCUUAUGAAUAAGGAUCGGCUAACUCCGUGCCAGCAGCCGCGGUAAUACGGAGGAUCCGAGCGUUAUCCGGAUUUAUUGGGUUUAAAGGGUGCGUAGGCGGCCUUUUAAGUCAGCGGUGAAAGUCUGUGGCUCAACCAUAGAAUUGCCGUUGAAACUGGGGGGCUUGAGUAUGUUUGAGGCAGGCGGAAUGCGUGGUGUAGCGGUGAAAUGCAUAGAUAUCACGCAGAACCCCGAUUGCGAAGGCAGCCUGCCAAGCCAUUACUGACGCUGAUGCACGAAAGCGUGGGGAUCAAACAGGAUUAGAUACCCUGGUAGUCCACGCAGUAAACGAUGAUCACUAGCUGUUUGCGAUACACUGUAAGCGGCACA